AUAAUUUUAUAGGUAAUUCGUCGUAUAAUCUUGAGAAUAGGGCUCUAGAGUUUCUACUGACCACCGUAAAUGGUCUGGCUACGAAGAAGAAUAAUUACUAU
rnacentral:ncRNA from 2 species